GCAAAGGCACAGCGCGGGCGCAGGCGCCCAGAGGCGCACAGGAGACCUCAGGCCCAGACUCCACUCCCCAGCUGUGAAAGGACUGCUGGCCAGACCCCCAAGCUAGCCCGCCAGGCCUCCAUAGAGCUGCCCAGCAUGGCUGCAUCCAGUACCAAGAGUUGGUGGGAGACGGGUGAGGUAUAGGCUCAGUCUGCGGCCAAGACUCCGUCCUGCAAGACUCUUUGGCAGUUGCACUGGGUACUGGCUGAGUUCUGGAAAACAGGAAUGUGAGCAGAGUGCUGCAGAUCUCCUUGUCAGGAGCACCUAAGAACUGGCAUGACUCUACACCCUCUCUCCUUCUGCAAUGACCUCGUGUCAAGAUGGCAGACCCGCAGAGAUGAAUGUGCCUGGAUACCUGAGUCACCAGGUGGAGGAAACUCCCAUUGACAUGCAUCACACUCCACAUAUGAAACCCUUCUUUUUCUGCACUGUCACUGGGGUUAGGGAUUAUUACUCACUGCAACUUAGCCUAGCAUUAAGUUGCUUGACUAAUACAAGUUUCAAUAAAUGUCGCUUCAUUUCCCAUGGCU
ensembl:lncRNA LSP1P5 LSP1 pseudogene 5